GACGAACGCUGGCGGCGUGCUUAACACAUGCAAGUCGAACGGUAAGGCCCUUCGGGGUACACGAGUGGCGAACGGUUGAGUAACACGUGGGUGAUCUGCCCUGCACUUCGGGAUAAGCCUGGGAAACUGGGUCUAAUACCGGAUAGGACCACUGCCUGCAUGGGUGGUGGUGGAAAGCUUUUGCGGUGUGGGAUGGGCCCGCGGCCUAUCAGCUUGUUGGUGGGGUGAUGGCCUACCAAGGCGACGACGGGUAGCCGGCUUGAGAGGGUGACCGACCACACUGGGACUGAGAUUCGGCCCAGACUCCUACGGGAGGCAGGAUUGGGGAAUAUUGCAGAAUGGGCGCAAGCCUGAUGCAGCGACGACGCGUGAGGGAUGACGGCCUUCGGGUUGUAAACCUCUUUCAGUAGGGACGAAGCGCAAGUGACGGUACCUACAGAAGAAGGACCGGCCAACUACGUGCCAGCCGCCGCCGUAA
rnacentral:rRNA from 1 species